AACCACAGUGGUUCCAAGUGAUAAUAAAACCUUUCCGUUUUACUAGACUCUGAGCAGCUCCUUGCUGUCACCAGUACCCUCUGCCUCUUUGGGAUUUCUGAUUUCUGUUCCUAAAAGUGUAUUCCUCAGGAUUCUGCCCCUGCUUAUGCUACAGUCUCCCUGGUAGCGAUUCCGUCCAUUCUCAGCUUCGAGUUUAUGCAGUCGUCUGUCUGUACCUCCAGAUGAGAAGAUUCUGGAGAUGUGAUUCAUUUGGGGAUAUAUUUUGAAGAAGAAGGCAAAAGGAUUUGCUGCUGAAGACAUGGAGAUGGAGCAUAGAAAAAAGAGGAUAAUCGAUGAUGACCCUAUGGUUUGGGGCCUUUGCAACUGGAAGGAUAAAAAUUGCCAUUUUCUGAGCCUGAGAACCACUGGCCAUGGAGGCAGGAGGACAGUCAUGAAAGUGUGGUGUCUUGGAAGUAUAAUACAAUUUUUAAAGUACUUCAAGAAGAAAUGUGUUAUCAAAAUUUCACAAACUCCUGAUCACUGUAGCAGCAUAACAACCCAUGUGAUUUGCAGAGAAAAGAGUUUACUGGCUGGAACCUGCUGUAGACAUAAUCAACUCGGUUAUCUUGUGAGGGCAAUAUUCCUUUCACUGAAAGCUGUUGUAAAGAUCCUCCUAUCAGCUUAUUCUAGUGACAGUUGUGAAACUGAUGAGCAUGCAGUAAAACCUGAGAUGCAGAUGUGAUGGUUAAUAUUAAGCAUCAACUUGAUUGGAUCAAAGAAUGCAAAGUGUUGUUCUUGGAUGUGUCUGUGAGGGUACGGCCAAAGGAGAUUAACAUGUGAGUCAGUGGAUUGGGAGAGGCAGGCCCACCCUCAAUCUGGGUGGGUACCAUCUAAUCAACUGCCAGUGCAGCUAGAAUAAAGCAGGCAGAAGAAGUUGGAAAGAGCAGACUUGCUGAGUCUUCUGGUCUUCAUCUUUCUCCCGUGCUGGAUGCUUCCUGCCCUCAAACAUCAGACUACCAAGUUGUUCAUUGUUCAGCUUUUGGACCCUUGGACUUACACUAGUGAUUUACUAGGGGCUCUCGGAUCUUUGGCCACAGACUGAAGGCUGCACUAUCUGCUUCCCUACCUUUGAGGUUUUGGGACUCAGACGGGCUUCCUCACUCCUCAGCUUGCAGAUGGCCUAUUGUGGGACUUCACUUUGUGAUCAUAUGAGUCAAUUAUCCUAAUAAACUCCCCUUUGUAUAUACAUAUAUCCUACGAGUUCUGUCCCUUUAGAGAACUCUGACUAAUACAGAUGUAAAUUCAGAAUUUAAAUUAUAUAAUUCCAUCAUAUUCUAUUUCAAGAUUUAGGAUUUAAAGUCAAAUAUUUUCUCAAGUGAUUGUUUGAAGCAGCAAGUACAUUGGAAAAAUAUUGUAAAUAAAAUUAUAUUUGAGGACAAUUAUCUUAAAUCUGAUUUU